CAACAUGGCUGCACUGAAGUGUGAGCCUCAGCCUCAGUGUUUGUAGGAACCGAUCAUAUUUUAACCCUAGCAGGGUGCCACUGCACCUUGACUCCAGACUUGAGGUGUUCCAGAGGGUCCUUGAGCGCUGCCAUUCGAGAGGCUACCAUUUAGGUCCAUGGCUUUCUCCGCGCACAGGAAAGGGCACUCUGUGAGGUUCUACAAGGUGACUCUGCCUGGCUUUACCGGCACCAGGCAAUGGUUCUGAUCUCACUCUCCUGGUCUUUGGUGUGGGGAAAGAGCCUGCAGCCAGGACAGCCACUGCUUGAGGUCACUAAGAUGAGAAAAUUGAGGCCCGGAGAACUGAAGAGCCUGUCCAAGAUCAGCUAAUGAUCAAGGCACAGAGAAUGCUCACAGCCACUGAGAUCUGCUUCCCACCGUACAGGAGGCUCGCCUCCUCCUGGCCACCCUGAAAGUCAAUUCCCUUCAGAAUGCUCUGGUGACACUAAAACUCAGAUGUCCUUCG
ensembl:lincRNA uncharacterized LOC110295861